UCGAGAAUCUUCCGCAAUGGACGCAAGUCUGACGGAGCGACGCCGCGUGGAGGACGAAGGCAUUAGUGUUGUAAACUCCUGUCACAGAUUAUGAACAUCACGUGGUUAAUAGCUGCGUGACUGACGUAAGUCUGAGAGGAAGCACCGGCUAACUCUGUGCCAGCAGCCGCGGUAAUACAGAGGGUGCAAACGUUGUUCGGAAUCACUGGGCAUAAAGCGCACGUAGGCGGUCAUGUAAGUGUGGAGUGAAAGCCCACGGCUCACCCGUGGAACUGCUUUGCAUACUGCAUGACUCGAGGACGGUAGGGGAGAGCGGAACUCUUGGAGGAGCGGUGAAAUGCGUAGAUAUCAAGAGGAACACCAAUGGCGAAGGCAGCUCUCUGGUCCGUUUCUGACGCUGAGGUGCGAAAGCUAGGGUAGCGAACGGGAUUAGAUACCCCCGUAGUCC
rnacentral:rRNA from 1 species